UACGGAGGGUGCGAGCGUUGUCCGGAAUCACUGGGCGUAAAGGGCGCGUAGGCGGCAUGCCAAGCGUGUGGUGAAAGCCCGGGGCUCAACCCCGGGUCGGCCGUGCGGACUGGCAUGCUCGAGCACUGUAGGGGCGGGUGGAAUUCCGGGUGUAGCGGUGGAAUGCGUAGAGAUCCGGAAGAACACCGGUGGCGAAGGCGGCCCGCUGGGCAGGAAGGAAGC
rnacentral:rRNA from 1 species